rnacentral:misc_RNA from 1 species
UCCCUUCAAGAAAUGGACGCGAAAUCAGUCGAACAAACGCGAGUCAAACGACAAGCAGUUAGCGAGGUAGAUGCCUUCAAUAUAUGCGAUGAUGCAUUUCAACAGUCUGCACACUAUAAUAUUUGCCUCCAGGUUGUUCCAAACUUCACCAAUGAAACGUUUGCUAACUGCAUUAAUGAUCUAACAAUUACCGGGGAUCAUAACCUUACUCAGUUGCAUCUUGAUACAGGCCUUGUACAAUGUCAAACAUAUAUAUUGUUGAACUCUACAUUUGCAAAUGAGCAUCCGGAUAUUGCGGCAUUUAUCACUAAUUUAUGCCCAAACAAUUGUAGCAGUAAUGGAAUAUGCACAUCAGGGAAUUGUACCUGCAAUGACGGAUACGGGGGAAGUGAUUGCUCGUUUGACGUUUUGUCUCCACCUACAAUAACAAGAUUAUCUGGUGACGGUGUUUGUGACAAAUCAUCGGCGUCUUGUGACGAUAUUACGCUUUAUGGCAAUUACUUCUUGGAAAAUAUGAGGACAUCUUGUUUUGUGACAAGGGAAGAGAACAAUGAAAACAAUACCGUGGCAUUAUCAACAUCAUAUAACACAAAACUAGAAGAAAGAACCCUGUUUGAAGGGUAUUGCAGCCUUGAAUAUGGUUCUGGGAAUUCAUGGAUUACGUCAUUUCAGUUUAAUCUUUCUAAUGAUGGCACUCAGUUUACGGAUUCGCAUACAGUAUACAUUUACCAGUCUGCCUGUCAAACAUUUAAUAACGAAUCUGGGAGUGUUUAUUUCACACUUCAGAAUGGAUUUUGUUACAUAAAUGGAACGUGUAUAGAAAGGGGAACAUUUAAAAGCAACGAAAGCUGUUGGCAAUGCUUGCCGUUAAUCAAUACAUUUGAUUGGACUUGGGAAUGUAACACGACAGAAACCACAGAACCAGCAACCACUUCUUUUCAUCCAGCUUCCUCCACAUCCUCAGCUGAUCUUACAACCACUUCUUUCCAUCCAGCUUCCUCCACAUCCUCAGCAGAUCUUACAACCACAACAGUUCUUAUGGCUUCCUCGGAAACAGAUCAAGCCUCAAGAACCACCAAAAAAUAUAAAAACAGACAUGAAGAUACCAAAGAGGUUUUACGAUUGGAAGUAAUAGGUCUAAGCGUUGCAGUUGCUGUCUUUGCGAUUAUGAUUUUGUUCGUUACUGGAUACAUGGUCAAACACAAAUUAUUUUCAAAGUCAAGCAUAAACAAAUUAAAGCCAACCCCGGAAGACAUCGGUGGAGAUAGCAAGACAACGGUAAUAAUAGGAAUUUCAAACCCAGACGAUCUGUGGCUGUUUCAGAAGUCUGAUCAACUGUAUUCCAGACCACCGGUUUCACAUUUCAUUUACGAUAUGCCACAAACUAAUGAUCUCCGCAGACUUUAUGAAAAACCAGCCGCCCAACCGGUACAUAUUUAUGUCAAACAACAAGAUUUCCAUGGCAACUAAACUGAAAGUUAAUGAAAAAGAACUUUUUGUUGACACCAAACGUUAUUUUCUUUCUCACAUAUCUACUACUAUAUUUUCGUGAAAGUUUGCUUUUAAAGUUUGGCAUUUGUAAAAGACUAUUUUUCUCUGGUUUAAACAUGUAAUAUGAUAUAAAGAUGGGGGCUUAAGAUGUUCAUUUAUUUUAUUUGUGACCUAUGGCACAUGUCAUUUUUUUUUUAAUUUGGGGCCCCAACAGAAAUGAUAAUUUCCCCGAAGUUGCUGCUAAAAUUUGGCAUCGAAAUUACUUAUUUGAAGAAAUCAAACAAAUAUUUAUCUAUUAAUCUAUAAUAUAGUUAUGACUCAAUACAGUAUGAAGAUGAACACAUGUAGUGACCAUAAAAGUAAUAUCUAAGUAAAAGGUUAAAAAAAAUUGCUGAACUGAUGGCUUAAAAUGCCUGUACAUAAUGAAUACAUCAGCAAUUGUAAAGAUUGUUUUAACAGUUUGGAGUAAUCAAAUUAUAACGCAAAUAAAAAUAAUAGUAAUGCCAUUUUCCUAAACCUUUCAUACAAACAGACAUAUUUAAUGUUCCAUGGGGAGUAAAAACGUAGUGGUCACAUCUU